rnacentral:rRNA from 1 species
UACGAAGGGGGCUAGCGUUGUUCGGAAUUACUGGGCGUAAAGGGCGCGUAGGCGGCGACCCAAGUCAGAUGUGAAAGUCCUGGGCUUAACCUGGGGACUGCAUUUGAUACUGGGUUGCUUGAAUUCGGGAGAGGAUAGCGGAAUUCCCAGUGUAGAGGUGAAAUUCGUAGAUAUUGGGAAGAACACCGGUGGCGAAGGCGGCUAUCUGGACCGACAUUGACGCUGAGGCGCGAAAGCGUGGGGAGCAAACAGG